UUUCAUUUCCACAAAACCAAACAAACCUUAGGUUGAGAGAGAGGGGAGGCGGCUAGGGUGAAACCCUAGCGCCGCCACCUCCUUUUCCCCUCUCUUCCAACGACACUUCGCUGCCAGGGUGGCGAAAAGGCCCUCCCCAGGAUUUUACAGGCCUCGCAUGUCCGUCUCCAGGCCGCAUUUAUUGUGGUGAAACCUCUUUCCACCAAAUGACGCCUAAAGUACAGUUUGCCAUACCUUUUUCAAUUCUUUUUCUUUACUUUCCGUCAAAUCGACUAGUUAACAUUAAUGGCUUCGUCCUUGCGUAAUUUGAAACCCAUUGGUUUCUCCAAAGAACCAAGCGGAUCAAGGAUGAUUCGGCCUUAAUCGAGCUGUUCGUUUGUUAUAUGGUUGAAAUCUGUUUGUUUACUUCAAAAACGAGUGAGAGAAUUGUGAAAUUUUAGCAAGUCCCACAUCGAAAUAUUGGGGCUUUUCUAUCAUUUUUGGGGUUCUAUAAAUAGAACCCCAAGCUUUGCAUUGACACACACAGACAGAGGCAUAGAACCCGAAUUUGAGUAUCUUACACUCGAAAUUGGGGCUUUUCGUUUUCAGUUCAAAAAUUUGUUUCUUCGCUUAACUGUUAAGUUGGGUAUUCAAGUUUUACAAUUUUGAUUUUACUUUUGUGUGGCUGAGUUUGAUUUUGGAAGCACAAAGGAGCUCCAAGUUCACUCUUGACUCGGUUGUGCAUAAAAAAGCUUUCGAGUGAGUUCGCUGUCGCCAGAGUUUGCAGGAACGUUACAACGGUUCAUCACAAUUAUCGGAUAUAGGGGACGGAGUCACCUUAGGCCAAUCUUGAAUCCGCUGCUGUUGGUCUUACUGGUCUUGGUAGUAGGGUAGUAGGAGUAAAGGCAAUAGGAUCAGUAUUAGGGCUUAAAUAGAAUGUUCUGUCAGAGAAGAACUAAUAGAAUAGAUGAAUCGGCUGCAAAGUCUUUUAGCCACAGACGGUCUUCCUGGAAACCGGCAAUGAUGACACGGAUCGGAAAUUUUCUACAAAUAAAUAAAAUGUAAGAAAAUUCGUAUAUAUUACAUAACUUGACUGUAUUAAACAAAACAUUUCCUAGUCCUACUGCUCAAGCACGUUACUAGCUUAAUGUAGUCGAGAUUUCAAGCCUCA